UACGGGGGGGAGCAAGCGUUGUUCGGAUUUACUGGGCGUAAAGGGCGCGUAGGCGGCCACCGCAAGUCGACUGUGAAAUCUCCGGGCUUAACCCGGAAAGGUCAGCCGAUACUGCGGGGCUAGAGUGCAGAAGGGGCAACUGGAAUUCUCGGUGUAGCGGUGAAAUGCGUAGAUAUCGAGAGGAACACCUGCGGCGAAGGCGGGUUGCUGGGCUGACACUGACGCUGAGGCGCGAAAGCUAGGGGAGCAAACAGG
rnacentral:rRNA from 1 species